AGAGCUGACCUCACCCAUCAUUCUGCCCUUGAUUGACCAAUGAUGACAGGAGGUUAGCCCAGAGGGGCAAGUGGAGCCAGAGAACAAGCAACUAUGGAAACUACUGAUGUGAGUUAUCAGUGGUCCUGUGUACCGAGAAGGCAGCAGAUGGCAGGUGCCAGGUCAUCAGGCUGCCCACUGAAGCCUUCAGCAAGGAAGAAUUUCAGAUCUGAACUCCAAGAAGGAAGACAUUGAUCCAGCUGAGAGACUUGCAAUCUCUUCAUUGUGCAGAAAAUUGAUUUCUAUAAACAGUGGCACAGAUGGUAUGUCAGUUGGAUGGCUCACAGACUCCUGAAAUCAACCAUGUUCCAGUGGACCAGUCCAAAUAGGACUCAACAUUUUUACCUUCUAAGACUUCUCUUCCUGAAUUGCCUCACCUUGGCGAAUGGCAUCAUGAAAGGCUCAAUGAUGAAAUACUCUUCAUCUCCCCAGCUUUAGAUGCCAACCAAUCUUAAGGCCUAUGGAACAGGACUCUAUUAGCCCACAAAACUAGCUCUUGUCUCUCACUGCCUGGCCACUACUGUGAUUUAUCUUUAUGACAUUUUAUCUGGAUUUUUAUCAGAGGGCUCUAAUUGUAUUUCUUGCUUCCAACCUUAUCUCCAUGAAAUUCAUUCUGUACAUAUUGUCAGAGAUAUUUCUCUUUACAGCUUUACUGAGAUAUAAUUCACAAACCAUAAA